GUUAAUGUUCAGGAUCGUUCUGUUUUCUUUUGAAAAGUGUAGUGUUUCCCGUUAAUAAACGUAGCCAGUUCGUCAAUCUUUAAAUAAGUAUCACGGUGCCUAUACCACGUGACUUUUUAAGAUCUGUGUGGGGAGUUAAAUGUAAACAAAAGCACGACAGAGUAAUCACCUAUUUGGCACUAGUGAGCGGACAAGGGUUAAGGGAAGAAAAAUAGAGGAAACAGUUUCACGAGACAGGAAUGCUAUACAGAAGGGGACACUAGGAAUAAGGUGGGAGCGGGCGAGACGAAACGAUAGCAAACUGUUGCCAACAAUAAGAAUGCGGAUAGACGAACACAAUGGACAUUUUAAUUCUGACACAAAUUCUGCAAUAAAAAUUGUGUCAAAUAUUACACAGGUUGACAAAAAGCAAAGGCAUGUUCUGUCCUGAGUAAUACGUAUGUUUUAAAAUCAAAUUUGGAAUGCAAACUGAUAAAACAGAAUCCACCAGACGUAUUGGCUUGUCAUUUUGUUGUUAUUUCAAGUUUAAGGUAAACGGUAUGUUUAUUAAAAACAAAAUACUGGUCAUAGUAGAAACAUAUAUAUAUGUGUGUGUCUGUGUGUUUUAUUUCAUAUAUGGAAUUCAUAUUGUUGCAUUAGUUUAUUACAUAGUAUACAUAUUGACAAUCAUUCGCCAUGUGUUGGUGAUAAUGUCAUGUUAUAAAUUAUGUCGUUGUAUUCAGUGUAACAAGUGUAUGCUUAUCUUUAGCGUUAAUUAUUUUGAAGAGAAUAUAAAAAGUAA